UUUAUAGUAGCUCAAUGGUAGAGCAAUCGACUGUUAAUCGAUUUGUUAUGGGUUCAAUUCCCGUCUAUAAAG
rnacentral:tRNA from 1 species